rnacentral:misc_RNA from 1 species
GAAAUGCGAUAAGUACUGUGAAUUGCAGAAUUCAGUGAAUCAUCGAAUCUUUGAACGCCCCUUGCGCUCCUUGGUAUUCCUUGGAGCAUGCCUGUUUGAGUAUCAUGAAAUCUUCAAAGUAAAUCUUUUGUUAACUCAAUUGGUUUCUACUUUGGUAUUGGAGGUCUUUGCAGCUUCACACCUGCUCCUCUUUGUUCAUUAGCUGGAUCUCAGUGUUAUGCUUGGUUCCACUCGGCGUGAUAAGUUAUCUAUCGCUGAGGACACUGUAAAAGGUGGCCAAGGUAAAUGCAGAUGAACCGCUUCUAAUAGUCCAUUGACUUGGACAAUACUUUUAUGAUCUGAUCUCAAAUCAGGUAGGACUACCCGCUGAACUUAAGC